rnacentral:rRNA from 1 species
UACGUAGGGGGCAAGCGUUGUCCGGAAUCAUUGGGCGUAAAGAGCGCGUAGGCGGCCCAGUAAGUCCGCUCUGAAAGUCAGGGGCUCAACCCCUGAAUGCGGGUGGAUACUGCUGGGCUAGAGUCCGGAAGAGGCGAGUGGAAUUCCUGGUGUAGCGGUGAAAUGCGCAGAUAUCAGGAGGAACACCAAUGGCGAAGGCAGUGGUCUGGGCCGGAACUGACGCUGAAUAGCGAAAGCGUGGGGAGCGAACAGG